UUUUAUGGCACUUUUUAAUCCAUAUCCACCUUGUGUGCAAUGUCAGUCGAUCUUCUUCAUGGAGAUCGACCAAACAUCAACCUUUAUUUUUUAACUCUUUGUCUGAAAAAUAUUAUGAAUAAACAAUUUAAAAUACAACUUUCAACAACGGAUCUCUUGGCUCUCGCAUCGAUGAAGAACGCAGCGAAAUGCGAUACGUAAUGUGAAUUGCAGAAUUCAGUGAAUCAUCGAAUCUUUGAACGCAUAUUGCGCUCUUUGGUAUUCCGAAGAGCAUGCUUGUUUGAGUAUCAGUAAACACCUCAAAGCUUUUGGAUUUUUUAAUCGAAAAGCUUUGGACUUGAGCAAUCCCAACACCAAUCUUUUUGAGAUCGGUGGCGGGUUGCUUGAAAUGCAGGUGCAGCUGGACAUUCUCCUGAGCUAAAAGCAUAUUCAUUUAGUCCCGUCAAACGGAUUAUUACUUUUGCUGCAGCUAACAUAAAGGGAGUUUGACCGUAUUGGCUGACUGAUGCAGGAUUUCACAAGGGUCGGCAACGAUUCUUGUUAAACUCGAUCUCAAAUCAAGUAAGACUACCCGCUGAACUUAAGCAUAUCAAUAAGCGGAGGAAAAGAAACUAACUAGGAUUCCCCUAGUAACGGCGAGUGAAGCGGGAUGAGCUCAAAUUUAAAAUCUGGCUGGUUUACUAGUCCGAAUUGUAGUUUAUAGAAGCGUUUUCGGUGGCAGCCUGGGUAUAAAUCCUUUGGAAUAGGGUAUCAUAGAGGGUGAGAAUCCCGUCUUUGACUCAGUGCAUGCUACAAUGUGAUACGUUUUCAAAGAGUCGAGUUGUUUGGGAAUGCAGCUCAAAAUGGGUGGUAAAUUUCAUCUAAAGCUAAAUAUUGGCGAGAGACCCGAUAGCGAACAAGUACCGUGAGGGAAAGAUGAAAAGAACUUUGAAAAGAGAGUUAAACAGUGCGUG
rnacentral:rRNA from 1 species